rnacentral:tRNA from 1 species
CAUACCAUACUGGUCCCCCGUGGGAAUCGAACCCACAACCCUGGCGUUGUAAACACCAUGCUCUACCAACUGAGCCACACGGGACCAGUUGGUAAAUAGCCAGAUAAUGGCUGUGUUUUAGCUAGCUACUACAGUUGGUAAAUAGCCAGAUAAUGGCUGUGUGUUAGCUAGAUACAACAGUUGGUAAAUAGCCAGAUAACAGCUGUGUUAGCUAAAUACUACAGUUGGUAAAUAGCCAGAUAACGUCUCUGUGUUAGCUAAAUACUACAGUUGGUAAAUAGCCAGAUAAUGGCUGUGUUGCUAGAUACUACAGUUGGUAAAUAGCCAGAUAAUGGCUGUGUUGCUAAAUACUACAGUUGGUAAAUAGCCAGAUAACAGCUGUGUUAGCUAGAUACUACAGUUGGUAAAUAGCCAGAUAACAGCUGUGUUAGCUAAAUACUACAGUUGGUAAAUAGACAGAUAAUGUCUGUGUGUUAGCUAGAUACUACAGUUGGUAAAUAGACAGAUAAUGGCUGUGUGUUAGCUAGAUACUACAGUUGGUAAAUAGCCAGAUAACAGCUGUUAGCUAGAUACUACAGUUGGUAAAUUGCCAUAUAACAGCUGUGUUAGCUAGAUACUACAGUUGGUAAAUAGCCAGAUAACAGCUGUGUGUUAGCUAGAUACUACAGUUGGUAAAUUGCCAUAUAAUGGCUGUGUUAGCUAAAUACUACACUUGGUAAAUAGCCAGAUAACAGCUGUGUUAGCUAGAUACUACAGUUGGUAAAUAGCCAGAUAAUGGCUGUGUGUUAGCUAGAUACUACAGUUGGUAAAUAGCCAGAUAAUGGCUGUGUUAGCUAAAUAGUACAGUUGGUAAAUAGCCAGAUAACGUCUCUGUUGUAUAAAGUCUGUUUCUGGAAGUUGUACUAUUUUACAGCAGUGCUGGUUUAGAGCUCUGAAUAGUAGCUAUCGUGAAAGUUUGUCUGUGAAUGUUGAGCGUCUAGUGAAAACAUCCUGAACUGACAAUCAAUAACCCCAAAAAAGUCAACAAAGAAACGUAAUUAAACAUAGAAGAGAAGAUCAUUAAUUACACUCAAACUGUGUCCCAAAUGGUUCCCUAUUUGGUGAACUACCUGUGACCAGGUCCCAUGUGGCUCUGGUCAGAAAUAGCGCACUAUGUAGUGAAUAGCUUGCCAUUUGGGACACGCUUCAGAGACAAUUCAUUACUCAAUCAAUAAAGGAGGGGUACAAAAUAUAGAUGUGUUUAGGAUUGUAUUUCUUUUCUCUUGGUAGAAAAGUAAGACAUAGAGUAUUGAUUCUAUUGUGGUGUUUUUCCCCCUCCGUAGUGGACCCAGUGUAAACUGUCAUGGUCAGCUGGGCUUAACGCUGUGGAUUUGGGGGGGAGACAGAGAGACAGAGAGAGAGAGAGAGAGAGACAGAGAGGGGGAAUAAGAGACAUAGAGAGAGAGAGAGAGAGAGAGAGAGAGAGAGAUAGAGAGAGAGAGAGACAAAGAGAUAGCGAGAGAGAGACAGAGAGAGAGAGAGAUAGCGAGAGAGAGAGAGUUGACUGUGUCAGGGCAUGUAAAAUAGUGGGUCCAUGUUCAUUUCCAGGAUGAACAAAGUAGACAGGAGAGGCAAGAGAUGUUUUCAAAUUAAUUCCUGUCAAACAUUAUGUAUGUUUUAAUGCUGUGCUGUUCUGUUGUUUACAAAGUCCAAAGAUGUCCAUCUGUAUUGACAGGUGAUAUCAGUCUGUAGGGACAGGUGAUAUCAGUCUGUAUUGACAGGUGAUAUCAGUCUGUAGUGACAGGUGAUAUCAGUCUGUAGGGACAGGUGAUAUCAGUCUGUAGUGACAGGUGAUACCAGUCUGUAGUGACAGGUGAUACCAUUCUGUAGAGUGACAGGUGAUACCAGUCUGUAGUGACAGGUGAUACCAGUCUGUAGGGACAGGUGUUAUCAGUCUGUAGGGACAGGUGAUACCAGUCUGUAGGGACAGGUGAUAUCAGUCUGUAGUGACAGGUGAUAUCAGUCUGUAGGGACAGGUGAUAUCAGUCUGUAGAGUGACAGGUGACACCAGUCUGUAGUGACAGGUGAUAUCAGUCUGUAGGGACAGGUGAAAUCAGUCUGUAGGGACAGGUGAGACCGGGC